GACGAACGCUGGCGGCGUGCUUAACACAUGCAAGUCGAACGGAAAGGCCCUGCUUUUGUGGGGUGCUCGAGUGGCGAACGGGUGAGUAACACGUGAGUAACCUGCCCUUGACUUUGGGAUAACUUCAGGAAACUGGGGCUAAUACCGGAUAGGAGCUCCUGCUGCAUGGUGGGGGUUGGAAAGUUUCGGCGGUUGGGGAUGGACUCCCGGCUUAUCAGCUUGUUGGUUGGGUAGUGGCUUACCAAGGCUUUGACGGGUAGCCGGCCUGAGAGGGUGACCGGCCACAUUGGGACUGAGAUACGGCCCAGACUCCUACGGGAGGCAGCAGUGGGGAAUAUUGCACAAUGGGCGGAAGCCUGAUGCAGCAACGCCGCGUGCGGGAUGACGGCCUUCGGGUUGUAAACCGCUUUCGCCUGUGACGAAGCGUGAGUGACGGUAAUGGGUAAAGAAGCACCGGCUAACUACGUG
rnacentral:rRNA from 1 species